rnacentral:rRNA from 1 species
GACGAACGCUGGCGGCGUGCUUAACACAUGCAAGUCGAACGGAAAGGCCCUGCUUGCAGGGUGCUCGAGUGGCGAACGGGUGAGUAACACGUGGGUGAUCUGCCCCUUACUUUGGGAUAAGCCUGGGAAACUGGGUCUAAUACUGGAUAGGACCAUGCUGUAGGUGGUGUGGUGGAAAGAUUAGUUUCGGUAAGGGAUGAGCUCGCGGCCUAUCAGCUUGUUGGUGGGGUAAUGGCCUACCAAGGCGUCGACGGGUAGCCGGCCUGAGAGGGUGGACGGCCACAUUGGGACUGAGAUACGGCCCAGACUCCUACGGGUGGCAGCAGUGGGGAAUAUUGCACAAUGGGCGCAAGCCUGAUGCAGCGACGCCGCGUGGGGGAUGACGGCCUUCGGGUUGUAAACUCCUUUCAGCCAUGACGAAGCCCUUGUGGUGACGGUAGUGGUAGAAGAAGCACCGGCUAACUACGUG